AUGGUGGACCCGGUGGGCUUCGCCGAGGCGUGGAAGGCGCAGUUCCCGGACUCGGAGCCGCCGCCCAUGGAGCUGCGCUCGGUGGGCGACAUUGAACAGGAGCUGGAGCGCUGCAAGGCCUCCAUCCGGCGCCUGGAGCAAGAGGUGAACCAGGAGCGCUUCCGCAUGAUCUACCUGCAGACGCUGCUGGCCAAGGAGAAGAAGAGCUACGACCGACAGCGCUGGGGCUUCCGGCGCGCGGCGCAGCCCCCCGACGGCGCCGCCGAGCCCCGCGCGCCGCGCCCCCAGCCCGCGCCAGCCGACUGCGCCGACCCGCCGACCGCCGACGAGCCCGAGGCCCGGCUCGACGGGAAGGGCUCCCCGGGCAAGGCCAGGCCCGCGGCCACGCGCAGGCCCGGGGCCUCCGCUCCCGCGGACCGCGACGACCGCGGGCCCCCCACCAGCGUGGCGGCCCUGCGUUCCAAUUUCGAGAGGAUCCGCAAGGGCCCCGUCCAGCCGGCGGCGGCGGACGCCGAGAAACCCUUCUACGUGAACGUCGAGUUCCACCACGAGCGCGGCCUGGUGAAGGUCAACGACAAAGACGUGUCGGACCGCAUAAGCUCCCUGGGCAGCCAGGCCAUGCAGAUGGAGCGCAAGAAGUCCCAGCAGGGCGCUGGGCCCGGCCCUGGGGACCCGCCCAGGCCCUCCUACCGCGGGCGCCUCUCCGAGAGCAGCUGCGGCCUCGACGGCGACUUUGAGGACGUGGAGCUGAACCCGCGCUUCCUGAAGGACAACCUGAUCAACGCCAAUGGCGGCGGCAGGCCCCCCUGGCCGCCCCUGGAGUACCAGCCCUACCAGAGCAUCUAUGUCGGGGGCAUGAUGGUGGAAGGGGAGGGCAAGGGCUCGCUCCAGCGCAGCCAGAGCACCUCGGAGCAGGAGAAGCGCCUUACCUGGCCCCGGAGGUCCUACUCCCCUCGGAGCUUUGAGGACAGCGGAGGCGGCUACACCCCGGACUGCAGCUCCAACGAGAACCUCACGUCCAGCGAGGAGGACUUCUCCUCGGGUCAGUCCAGCCGCGUGUCCCCGAGCCCCACCACCUACCGCAUGUUCCGGGACAAGAGCCGCUCACCCUCGCAGAACUCCCAGCAAUCCUUCGACAGCAGCAGCCCCCCCACGCCCCAGUGCCAGAAGCGGCACCGGCAGGGACCGGUGGUCGUGUCCGAGGCCACCAUCGUGGGCGUCCGCAAGACGGGGCAGAUCUGGCCCAGCGAUGGGGACAGCUUGUCCAGCAGGCUGCUUCAAGACGGCACCUUCCAUGGAGACGCAGAUGCACCAUUCGGGACGCCGCCGGGGUACAGCUGUGCCACGGACCGGGCCGAGGAGCAGCGCCGGCACCAGGACGGGCUGCCCUACGUGGAUGACUCACCCUCCUCCUCGCCCCACCUCGGCAGCAAGGGCAGGGGCAGCCGGGACGCACCGGAGUCCACCAAAGUGAGUGAGCUGGACUUGGAAAAGGGCUCGGAGAUGAGGAAAUGGGUCCUGUCUGGAAUCCUAGCUAGCGAGGAGACUUACCUGAGCCACCUGGAGGCGCUGCUGCUGCCCAUGAAACCUUUGAAGGCUGCUGCCACCACCUCUCAGCCGGUGCUGACGAGCCAGCAGAUCGAGACCAUCUUCUUCAAAGUGCCUGAGCUCUAUGAGAUCCACAAGGAGUUCUACGACGGGCUCCUCCCCCGCCUGCAGCAGUGGAGCCACCAGCAGCGCGUGGGCGACCUAUUCCAGAAGCUGGCCAGCCAGCUGGGUGUGUACCGGGCCUUUGUGGACAACUACGGAGUUGCCAUGGAAACGGCUGAGAAGUGCUGUCAGGCCAACGCUCAGUUUGCAGAAAUCUCUGAGAACCUGAGAGCCAGAAGCAACAAGGAUGCCAAGGACCAAACGACCAAGAACUCUCUGGAAACCCUGCUCUACAAGCCUGUGGACCGGGUCACGAGGAGCACACUGGUCCUGCAUGACUUGCUGAAACACACCCCCUCUGGCCACCCCGACCACCUGCUGCUGCAAGACGCCCUCCGCAUCUCGCAGAACUUCCUGUCCAGCAUUAACGAGGAGAUCACGCCCCGCCGGCAGUCCAUGACCGUGAAGAAGGGAGAGCACCGGCAGCUGCUGAAGGACAGCUUCAUGGUGGAGUUGGUGGAGGGGGCCCGCAAGCUGCGGCACGUCUUCCUCUUCACUGACCUGCUCCUGUGCACCAAGCUCAAGAAGCAGAGCGGAGGCAAAACGCAGCAAUAUGACUGCAAAUGGUACAUCCCGCUCACGGAUCUCAGCUUCCAGACAGUAGACGACUCGGAGGCCGCACCCAACAUCCCCUUGGUGCUGGAUGAGGAGCUGGAUGCCAUGAAGAUCAAGAUCUCCCAGAUCAAGAGUGACAUCCAGAGAGAGAAGAGAGCGAACAAGGGCAGCAAGGCCAUCGAGAGGCUGAGGAAGAAGCUCUCGGAGCAGGAGUCGCUGCUCUUGCUCAUGUCCCCCAGCAUGGCCUUCCGCGUGCACAGCCGCAACGGCAAGAGUUACACGUUCCUGAUCUCAUCCGACUAUGAGCGGGCCGAGUGGAGGGAGAACAUCCGGGAGCAGCAGAAGAAAUGUUUCAAGAGUUUCUCCCUGACGUCCGUGGAGCUGCAGAUGCUGACCAACUCGUGCGUCAAGCUUCAGACCGUCCACAGCAUCCCACUGACCAUCAACAAAGAAGAUGAUGAAUCUCCCGGGCUCUACGGGUUCCUGAAUGUCAUCGUCCACUCCGCCACUGGCUUUAAGCAGAGUUCUAGUCUGUACUGCACCCUGGAGGUGGAUUCCUUUGGCUACUUUGUAAAUAAAGCCAAGACACGCGUCUACAGGGACACGGCUGAGCCCAACUGGAAUGAGGAGUUUGAGAUCGAGCUGGAAGGCUCACAGACCUUGAGGAUACUGUGCUACGAGAAGUGUUACAACAAAAGCAAGAUCACCAAGGAGGACGGCGAGAGUGCAGACAGGAUCAUGGGGAAGGGCCAGGUACAGCUGGACCCCCAGGCCCUGCAGGACAGAGAGUGGCAGCGGACCAUCAUCGCCAUGAAUGGGAUUGAAGUGAAGUUGUCAGUCAAGUUCACCAGCAGAGAGUUCAGCUUGAAGAGGAUGCCUUCCCGAAAACAGACGGGCGUCUUCGGAGUCAAGAUCGCUGUGGUCACCAAGAGGGAGCGUUCCAAGGUGCCCUACAUCGUGCGCCAGUGCGUGGAGGAGAUCGAACGCCGGGGCAUGGAGGAAGUGGGCAUCUACCGCGUGUCCGGAGUGGCCACCGACAUCCAGGCACUGAAGGCGGCUUUUGACGUCAACAACAAGGACGUGUCAGUGAUGAUGAGCGAGAUGGACGUGAAUGCCAUUGCCGGGACGCUGAAGCUCUACUUCCGAGAGCUGCCUGAGCCCCUCUUUACCGACGAGUUCUACCCCAACUUCGCCGAGGGCAUCGCUCUCUCAGACCCCGUGGCAAAGGAGAGCUGCAUGCUUAACCUGCUGCUGUCACUCCCGGAGGCCAACCUGCUGACAUUCCUCUUCCUUCUGGACCACCUGAAAAGGGUGGCAGAAAAGGAGACAGUGAACAAGAUGUCCCUGCACAACCUCGCCACGGUGUUCGGCCCCACGCUGCUCCGGCCCUCAGACAAGGAGAGCAAGCUCCCUGCCAACCCCAGCCAACCCAUCUCCAUGACCGACAGCUGGUCCCUGGAGGUCAUGUCCCAGGUCCAGGUGCUGCUGUACUUCCUGCAGCUGGAGGCCAUUCCUGCCCCAGACAGCAAGAGACAGAGCAUCCUCUUCUCCACCGAAGUCUAAAGGCCCAACUCCACCUCCAAGAUGCCGGCAGAACGGCCUGGGAACCUCCUAGGGAAACGGGCAAUCCACAGAGCGGGAACCGAACCUUCUAGAGGAGUCAUUAGGCCACCCCCCAGGGCCAGGCUGCUGCCAAGAGACAACUACCCAAGGCAAAAGGCCAAGUGGCCUGGACAGUUCCAGGCCCCCCUCCGGUGGGGCCUGAGAACCCUGGGCUGGCCUCAGACUGUGGUUUUCUACGCCACCACCAGAGGGCGCCCCAAGCCAGCCCUCGUGUCUCCGGUCACGGGCCUGGGCGGGACCAGGCAAAGGGAGUGGUUUUUACGAAUUUAACAUAUGAGAGUUCAAAGAUUUCUACUGGAUCACCUGUCGAGAUGCACCCUCUCCAGGGAGAAGGGAACAGGAGCAGAUUCCCUCGAUUCAGAUCCCUAAUAAGAUGUUAGAAUGUACUCUGUGGACAAUCUGUGUCCCAGCGGCAUCUCGUCUUCCUCUGAGCGCCAGCUCUGUUUCCAUCAGGAGCCAUUUCUGAAGUCUUCUGAGCAUCUGGAAUUGGGGGGCGGGGAUUAGGAACAGGCUGGGCCGAGGGUAGGGGCUCCCAUCCCGAAGCAGGUGGAGAGACAGAGCCCCCCCAUGCUCCACACACCUGUGCGGAAGCCAGGAUGUGCCUGGUAACCCUCCUGACCAUCUGACUUGGAGGAAAGAGAACUGGGGAAACCACUAAGUAUUUUGAAGAAACAAGUCUGUGAAGAAUUGCAUCACUUUUUUUAAAAAAGGGAUGGGGGCGAGGAGAGAAGAAACUUCCAUGCUGGACUUGCAGGAAGAGAGGAUGUAGCUGAACCGGAGGAGGGAAGUGGUGGCAUGACUCAGGAAAAGGCGUUUGCUUGUCACGCGAUUAGACCAGUAACAGGUGGCACUGUCCAGGACCCUUCCCGUGUCCCUGGCGGGGUGGGAAGGCUCAGCUGGUGUGUCAGCGGGCAGCUCCUGCCCAAGGUCGCGGCACACAGGGGGCCACGUGCCCCCCCCCCCACUCUACCCUCUGCUCGCGGACCUGCCAAGGCAGGGACGGAAAAAGAAGUCACUCGAAGGUCUUAAGUCUGCAUGUUGUAUUUAUUUAGUUGUACUUUUUUCUCGUGAGGAGAGCAGACCCACCGUUUUAAAGCAGUGCUGCUCUCCUGGGGGAUGAGGGCAGGGAGCAGGGUCCUCUGUGCUUUGCAUGUCUCUGGGAUCCAUGGGUUUCCCAGGCCUCCAGUCCCUGGCCUCUUCUGGCCUGGCUUCCCAUCCCCGUCUGGCUCUACAGGGGAAACACACUUUACUUAGAAAAGCUAGACCUGGCCCCGGUUUCUUUUUCCCUGGAGUCUCAUGAUUUGCGUCUGUCGCAUUGAAACUGGAAAGCAAUCUCUCAGUGUCUGUGCCAAUUUUCGUUCCCUCCCCCCAUCUCCUUCCUCUGUUUGCUUUUUAUUUAUGUAGGAUGCGUGGUGUUUAGUGAUGGAAUGACCACUCUUUCUUGUUCA